rnacentral:rRNA from 1 species
CCUACGGGUGGCAGCAGUCGAGAAUCAUUCACAAUGGUGGAAACCCUGAUGGUGCGACGCCGCGUGGGGGAAUGAAGGUCUUUGGAUUGUAAACUCCUGUCAUGUGGGAGCAAAUUAAAAAGAUAGUACCACAAGGGGAAGAGACGGCUAACUCUGUGCCAGCAGCCGCGGUAAUACAGAGGUCUCAAGCGUUGUUCGGAAUCACUGGGCGUAAAGCGUGCGUAGGCUGUUUCGUAAGUCGUGUGUGAAAGGCGCGGGCUCAACCCGCGGACGGCACAUGAUACUGGGAGACUAGAGUAAGGGAGGGGGAAGCGGAAUUCUCGGUGUAGCAGUGAAAUGCGUAGAUAUCGAGAGGAACACUCGUGGCGAAGGCGGGUUCCUGGAGAUUAACUGACGCUGAGGCACGAAGGCCAGGGGAGCGAAAGGGAUUAGAUACCCGGGUAGUC